rnacentral:rRNA from 1 species
ACCUCAGUAACGGCGAGUGAAGCGGUAAUAGCUCAAAUUUGAAAUCUGGCCUCUCGGGGUCCGAGUUGUAAUUUGUAGAGGAUGUUUUGGGUACCGCCCCGGUCUAAAUUUCUUGGAACAGAAUGUCAAAGAGGGUGAGAAUCCCGUCUUGGACCGGCGGUAGGGCCUGUGUAAAACUCCUUCGACGAGUCGAGUUGUUUGGGAAUGCAGCUCAAAAUGGGUGGUAAAUUUCAUCUAAAGCUAAAUAUUGGCCAGAGACCGAUAGCGCACAAGUAGAGUGAUCGAAAGAUGAAAAGCACUUUGAAAAGAGAGUUAAACAGUAUGUGAAAUUGUUGAAAGGGAAGCGCUUGCAACCAGACUUGAGCGCGGCGGUUCCCCCGGUCUUUUGGCCGGGCUACUCCGUCGUGUCCAGGCCAACAUCGGUUCUGAGGGUCGGUCAAAGGCCUUGGGAAUGUAUCUACCCACGGGUAGACUUAUAGACCAGGGUGUCAUGCGGCCUCUCGGGACCGAGGAACGCGCUUCGGCUCGGAUGUUGGCGUAAUGGUUGUCAGCGACCCGUCUUGAAACACGGACCAAGGAGUCUAACAUCUAUGCGAGUGUUUGGGUGUCAAACCCGGAACGCGAAAUGAGAGUGAACGGAGGUAGGAAGCUUCGGCUGCACUAUCGACCGAUCCUGAAGUUUA